GACGAACGCUGGCGGCGUGCUUAACACAUGCAAGUCGAACGGCAAGGCCCUGCUUUUGUGGGGUGCCCGAGUGGCGAACGGGUGCGUAACACGUGAGUAACCUGCCCUUGAUUUUGGGAUAACUUCAGGAAACUGGGGCUAAUACCGGAUAGGAGCUCCUGCUGCAUGGUGGGGGUUGGAACGUUUCGGCGGUUGGGGAUGGACUCGCGGCUUAUCAGCUUGUUGGUGGGGUAGUGGCUUACCAAGGCUUUGACGGGUCGCCGGCCUGAGAGGGUGACCGGCCACAUUGGGACUGAGGGACGGCCCAGACGCCUACGGGAGGCAGCAGUGGGAAAUAUGGCACAAUGGGCGGAAGCCUGAGGCAGCAACGCCGCGUGCGGGAUGACGGCCUUCGGGUUGUAAACCGCUUUCGCCUGUGACGAAGCGUUAGUGACGGUAAUGGGUAAAGAAGCACCGGCUAACUACGUG
rnacentral:rRNA from 1 species